AAGUACCAUAAUUUUUAUUGCAAUAUUUUUUUAAAUUAAUUGUUUAAUUGUUUUUCAUGCGUAUCCUUUAUUUUAAGAAUGUGUUCCAAACGUCGACGUCAACUGAAACAAUAAUUAAAAUAAUAAAAAAUUUGUAAUAUUUAAUAUUAUUGUAUUAUAUGUAUAAUUACCACAUGCUUAUGAAAAAGAAAUAGAAAUAGGAGCAGUAGAAAUGUUAAAAAUUUAUUUCUAUAAGUUAUAGAUUUUUACAUGCAAAACAUAGCACUGAUAACACAAGAAAAUAUCUUUAACAAUAUAAAUUGUAAUUAUAAACUUUAAUAAUAAAUUUAAUCAACAAAAAACCGUUGCUUUUAAAAAUGUGGAACGCUUCACGAUUUUGCGUACGUACAAACUAAAUAGAAAAACAUACAAAUUAAAUUUUAAUUAUGACAUAAAAUUAUAGUUUUUCUAUGUCUGGGUUGCGACUUAAAAGAUCUGUUUAUAAUUUUUAAUGAGUAAAAAAGUCGUACCCGAUCAUAUAAUCUCAAUAAAUAAUUAUAAGAAAAAUGUUUACAUAGAUGAUUAAAUUCAACAUUUUCGAAAAUGGUAAUAAGUUUACGAAUUACAUGUUUCUGUACAAUUAAUUUCUCAGCUUUGGAAAAAAAUUAAUUUUCUAAUUUUUUAAUAUAUGCUACGAAAUCAUUAUUUGGCAUACAUAAAUUUCCAAAAGAAUUAUCUUCAGUAGACUGUAAGCUCUAAAAAAGAAGUAAUAUGAUAUUUCAUUUAAAUCAAUAUACGAACGUGCAUAUUGAAAACAAAUAUUGCAUGAAUGUUUUUGAAGAUAUCUACGUAUUAUAUAUCCACAAACAAAUCUGAACGCAUCUUGUUCAUUUACAUCCAUCUCACGAUAAUCAUGAUCAUCCAAAAGUAUUGGUUCAAAAUCAUCUGUGUUGGGUAUCUUUAUAAUCCUCUUCUCUAAAGUUUGUAACAGCUGCUAAUAUCUCAGCAUUAUUUCUUUCACAAUUUCCAGUUUUAACAGUACAAUAUUUUAGAGAAAAAAGUUUUCUGAAUGAAUAGAAAAACUGAACUGGAGUAAGAUUGAAAACAUUACCAUUCGAUCCUCGGACAUCCGUAAAAAAGUGCUCCAAACAAUCUUAAGUAAAACGGCGUAAUAAUAGAAAUUGGAUUUCUGGAUAUACAUUUUGCAAAUAUUUCCAUAUUUGUAGAAGAGAAUUUAUAUUGUGCUUCAUGCAUUUAAAAACUUUAAUUUUAUUAGAAAUAUUUACACCAGCUUUAUUAUAUAUCAUUAAUUUGAAUAUAUAUAAGUUCUUUAUUGUUUCCCCUUAGGGUUUACAAUCUCUAUACAAUUCAACCGCUUAUAUCUACUCUUAACACUACUCUUAUAACUAAACUUAAUCUACUUAACCUAAUAUCUGGGGUGCUUUGGCCUAUUACCGCCUCCACACCCCCUUUUCUACGCGCGCACACACACACACACACACACACACACACACACACACACACACACACACACACACACACACACACACACACACAUACCGCUCCGCUGGACUUCCGUUUCCUCUGCCUAUGCAUCCAUUAUUGUCUCUAUCCCUAUUCCUUCUACGUUUCCCUCCUCCUUACUUUCGUCUCUCUCCCUCUCUAAUUCUCUCAACCAAUUUUCACCCUCUCCUUUCGACCCUAAAAUCCUCCAUUGCUACCUGCCAACUAUCUCCACCCCCCCCCCCCCUCAAUCUCUGUACUCUUACCAUACAUGUUCCCACGUUUCACUCCUUCAUCCACACAAUCUACAUCUCUUCUUUACUUCUUCUUCCCAAUAUCUAUCCCCCCUCAUUUCGUUACUUAACCUAAACCUCAUGACUUUUCUCUACCUACUCUCUCCCCCUACCCUUUUUUAUAUUUUGGAAUCCCUUCCUCUUUAACCCAUUUAUAGCAUUUAUUAUACUCAGACUCACUAAUUUUCCUCCAUCUGUCCUCCUUCUGUAACUGCCUCUCCUUGCUUAUAAUCGCCUCUAAUACCUCUUCUCUAUGUCCCAUUUCAAUCUCCUCCAACUUCCAUCUUCUAUACUCAAAAAACUCGGUUCCUCUUCCCACUCCACCUCUACCUUUGCUAUCCUACCUUUUGCUCUUAUUUCCUCUAGAUAUUUGCCCCUCCUCUCAUCCAACCUCUUUUCAUAUGCCCACGCUCUCUUUUCCGCUCUACUUCUCAAUUUGUCCCUCUGUAUUUCCUCUCUUACCAUAUAUCCCGGUGUGUUCCAGUUUAAAUCUAGCACCCACCUUACAUAUCUUUUUUCUAUCCUCUCUAUACUCUCCCUCUCCUUCCAUCCCCAUACUUCCACUCCAUAACUCAUUACUGUUCAAACCAGCUUGUCAAACAUUCAUAACCUCCUCCCCCAAUCCUUGCCAUAUCUUCUCUUCCCGAUCCCCCAAACCUGUCCCAUUACCGCCGCCGCUCUCCUCACUCUAUCCCUUACCUGCGCCUUUUGUCCCCCGUUUUUUUGCAUGAUACAUCCCAGAUAGUUGUACUCCUUAACUUCUUCUAUUCUCCUUCCCUUUCAUCACCAGCUCUUUUUGCUUUUCCUACCUUCUCCUCUUCUAAAUCUCAUUAUUUUCGAUUUUCUUGCGUUUAAUACUAAGUUCUUCUCAUCCAAAUACUCUUCAAGCCUCAUACUCCUCAUCUGAUCUUCCGCUUCCCUAACCACAAGAUCAUCUGCGUACGUGCUGCUAACGUGCAAACCCUCUCUCCUCCUAUCUUUAAAUCUCCUCACUUAACUCUCCCCAUAACCUCCUCUAAGUAAAAAAUUAGAAUGUUAAAUAAUAAUGGACUCCAACCCUUUCCAUCUAACCACACACACGUCUCCAUCAAACAUCACAUCCCAUUCUUUCAUACCCUUUCAAAAUUCUCUAUCUUUAUUCCCUAACUCUGCCACAUUCCAAAAAACAAUUCUCACUCCUCUCUCAUCCAUCCUCCCCUCUCUCCUUAUACCCCUUACAUUCUUUCUCUCUUCUCUUCCCCCUUCCCCUCCACCCUAACCUCUCCCUUCUCAUUUAUAAAUACUUCCUCUUUUUCAUCCCAUUUCCACUAACUCUCUCCUAUUCUAAUCCUACCAUAACCUAACCUAACCUUUUUUUUGUUUUGCGCGGAUGAGAGAAAUCUUCAAAAGAUACCCGGGAGCCCCGGGUAGUGUGGGAUUCUACGUAACUGGUGUCAGCGUUGCCUACCCACUAAAACUCUCAUCCAAUCGUUUCCUCUACCUUGGACCUCUUUUGCAGACUUCCCCGGCAUUGACGUAAGCCAUUUCUUCGGAAAAAGUUCGCAAAAGUCCAUAGAGAUAUAUCUCCUCAGAACUACGCAUAAUCUGACGGGGUUAUUAUGCUUACAAACUAUUAUUAUAUAUACAUAUUUACAACAUAGAACUAACCAACCAGGAAACCCAACGUAACCCAGAGCCCAUAAAUGAGCCCAAGGUCCGUCCAGUCUCGUGGUUUACAAGGACCUUAUAAUACUUAUUCUUACCGGUAACAGGGACCAGUCAUCUCUCAACUUAGCUCGGGAGUGGGGGUGCGCUAAACCCCGGAUAGUUUUUGUUCCUAUCCCUCUGCACAUAAAUGGCGAACAACAAAUUUUUGUUCGCCCAUUAUCUUCUAUUGAGAAUUCUAUUUACCUUUCUCUCUCUUUCUCUCCCCCCCCCUCUCUUUCUCUCUCUCUCAUUUAUUACACUUUCGCAAAAACGGAACAUUCCAGCCAUCCUUCUUAACUAACAUAAAUGUAAUUACUGAUCUAAGCGUUAAGUCCUCACUUAUUAUUCCUCUUAAUUCUGAACGUUGUUCUUCAAACUCCUCGCAGUCUGCGAGGGUAUGUUGAGCAUUAUCUUCAUUGGCUCCGCAGUGUCUACAGCGCGGGGAAACGCUACGAUUUAUUUUAAACAGAAAAUAACUAAAACUACCAUGUCCGAUAGAACUUGGGUAAGCCUGAAAGAUAACUUCAGUCAUCUGGUCAUCGUUGCUUCUUCCGUACCAGAGUUCAAGAUUAGGCAAAAUUGCUUCGCGAGUCCCGGAGCGUUCGGACUUAACCUUUCUAAUCUAUUCUUCCAGGCUUCUAACGCCUUAUGUCUCUCUUCCUCUUUUAUCAUUCUUUUACUUAAUACUGAUAUCUCAUAAUCUAAAUCUAGAGCCAUAUGUAUUCUAUUAUCUUUAAGUAUCUUUAAGUUUUAUAGCCAUUAUAUCAGCCGGGAUAAGCCUGGCCAGUAUCAUGGCCGCAUUAUAUGCGAUUGUGCGGUAUCCCGCCACUGCUCUAAUAGCGAGCAAUCUUUGCAGUCUUCUAAAUUACCAUAACCCUUUUUUUUGUACGAGGUGGGAAUGCAUUUACGCAUACCCCCGCCACCGAUGACUCACGGGCAGGGGUUAAUGGGACUCACGGGUUUGCAAUCGAGAAAGCUAAGCCCUUCCCGAUCGCGUGCAAUAUCCGUUCUAUUCACUAGGAUGGCCUUGACGGCGCGAUUUGGGGGAUCCACCGGGAAUUGCUAUCCAGCAUAACUGCCGGUGGGCCCCCCCGCGCCGACGCGCCGUGACGACGCGCGCGUCGCUCCGGGCGAGCGGGGCGGACGUCUCCGGAUACCGGAGAGCCCCGCUCGCCCGGCUGGUUCUUUGAACAUGAACCAGUGGCCAUUGUAUUCGGGGGGGGGGGGCUGUAAUCUUGUCUCCUCCCCCCCCGCCGCCACUCCUCUCCCUCCCCUAGUCCACGACAUGUGGAGGGAAGAGGGACGGGAGAUCGAUGUUUGGUCCGACUGUAUAUCACUCACGUUGAAGAAGGGGAGGGAGUCGAGGGCAGGGGCGAACGUCGCCCCGAGCAACCUCACCCCCCAACGACCCGCGGCGUGCUUGUGGGGGGAGGGGGAAGCUCUGUGCCCAGUGGUCGGGCCGGACCCUCCCCCUAGCGGGCGGAUAUUGUUUCGAUGGUCCGGGGGGGAAGAAGGGCCGUGUCUAUCGGCUUGCCUCCCUAGUUCCCCCCGGACCAUACACCCUGUUUGCGCGCGCCGACCUCGCACUCAACUCGAGGCCGGCGCGCCCGUUGCUUCUCCUCCCUCGUCGUUCGGGGGACGUCCCUUGUUGCCCCCCGCAGGCCCGAGCGGGGCCAUCGCGGCGGCGGCCAAGGGGGCGGGGGCAUCAAUGCCCAGUCGCGGUCCCCGCCCACCGAAUUUGGCAGGCGACUAUGACGCCGGCGACGAGGGGGUGCGUCUCUCGCUCCGGCGUCCCCCAAGUCCGGAGAGGGGGAUCCGCGAGGACCCCCUCUCAGCCUCCUCCUUCCGCGACAUGACUGUUUCGAAGAAGGAAAAGGCCUCCUCCCACGUGGACAAAUUACCAUAACCUAACCUAACCUAACCAUACCUUAUUUCCUUUCUCUUCUUCCGUUCUCGCUAUCCUUUCCAACCUCCAUCUAAUUAUCUUUUUCUUCCAAGUCCAAUCUGCUAAAAUUCUUUCUUCCCGCCCUCUUAAAUUCUUCUUUCUACUCCAAACCUCUUUCCUCUGCUCUUCAUUUUCUAACCUUAUCCAUAGCAACUCCCUCCCUUUCUUAUUUACUUCUCCUAUAUUUCUAAUCCCCUUCACCGUCACUUCCGCCCCUAUAUCUUUAAACACCCCUUUUACGGCUUUCCUUCUCUUACCCUUCUUUACCGCCACCCCCCUAAGUAUCACAUUUUUCCUCCUCUCUUCUCUAUCCUUCAACUCCAUCUUCUCCAUCUCUUUAACCCUCUUAUCUAGCAUUCUAUCUCCUACCUUAUCCGUCUUCUCUAUCCUUUUCAUCUCCUCCUGUGCCUCCACUAACUCCUUUUUUUUCUCUUUCCCAUCUACUCUCCCUUUCCCUAAGCUCCCUGAUUUCUUUUUUUAAAGCCUCUAUCUCCUCUCUCAUCCUUUUCCCCUGCUCUUCCACAAUCUCUUUUAAUUCCUCUUUUAUUUCCGUUUUUACUACUUUUAGUCCCUCUAUUGUCUCAUCUUUCCACGUCCUUAAGUUUCUAACCAACUCAUCCCCCCCCCUCUCCAGGCGGAGAUCUUGCUACUCUCUUACUUCCCCUUUAUCCCUCUAACGACGUACAACUAUCGCUUUUUCCUCUCUCUAUAUUACUCAUGCUUUAGACUAUGCCCGUUGUCUCUUGUGAAUACACCUUAACCAUCCUAUCCCCUCUCUAGACCUUCAGGCGGCGCUUCUGUUCUCUACUCCAUUCAAUCCUUGCGUCACGCACGCCUGUCUUGAACCUAUCUAAUCCCUGCCUCUGCUCUGUUGCCCACUAACUCACCUACUUUAUAUGCAAUUUCUUGCUUACACACUCUUCUCCCCACUCUAUCUUGACCAUCCACACACUCCACUCGCUCUCCGCAAUCACAUCACGCUAUCCUACUUCUCCUAACACCUCAAUAACUCUCAGUAUCACUCUAUAAAACUACCGGCUAUCCACAUACGUCUAACUCACAACGGCCCUGAAACGGAAGUCUCACUAAUUUGAAUAUAUAUUCUUUAAUUUUUGAAAGAAAUUUCAAUUGAUACUGCGUUCCCUGCAAAGCUUGUUUAAAUUGAGAUGGAUGUUGAACCGAAGAUGAAUUGAAUAGAUAAAAAAAAUCGUUCAUAUUUUGAAUAAAAUCUGCUGUUCUAAGUGCAAUUGUCGUAUCUGCAGGUUUCAAAGCUCUAGAAAUUACUAAUUUCCUCAAGCUGCUACUCACUGUAGAGCUUAAAAUUUGUGUAGCCAAGUAUACUUUCAUUUUUUUCAAAAUUUGAAAAUUUUAUAUGUUUUUCAGUAAGUUUAUGUGCAAGUCGAAAUUCUCUAGUUUGAUCUUCAUAAAAUAAAUAUUGAAUUCCCAAGAAAUUGAUUUAGAAUUAUACUUAAUGAUAUUGUCGUGAAAAUUAUUUCUAACAGUUUUUAUUAUAUGAGGUAAAUAAAAAAAA